rnacentral:lncRNA from 1 species
GAGGGAGGCAGGGUAAUCCACAUUUUAGGGUGCUUCAGUUAGCGCCCCAAAGAGGUACUAGACAGGCCUGCUUGGGUUUAGCUAGUGGUUUCUUUUUUCUCCCUAGAAACAGAGCUGUCACCUGACUCUAAAAUCCUUGCUGCUUAAAUGUCGUAGGUUGAGAUCAAACUUGCUGGAGAAUCAAGCUGAAUGCCAACUAUUCUUGGCAGGAGGACACCCUAGGCUGAACGCAAACACGACCUUCUGAUGCCAUCUGUGAUGUUACAGUCAGGAUCAGCCCAAAGGAAGAAAUAGGUAACAGUCACACCUAGGUUUCAUACUGUGAAGAUGCAUCUUUGUGACAAUUAUUUUGGGGGCUAUAUUGUCUACUUUUCUCAUAGGCGGAUUAUUUUGGAAUGAUUUACUUAAGAGGUACUCAUGAUUCUUUUCUGUGUGUGUUUGUGUGUGCGUUUUAAGGAACCUGCAGCGCUAUCUGCAUGUGGGUGGCCUUCACAUCGAAGAUUGUGCUUGUGCUAUUUUGUACGUACCUCUCUGUAUGUGAGUACAAAAUGAAAGAGGCUGUCUCUAGAAAUUGCCUGAAAAGGAGGUGUCUGUGAUGUUAUGUAGAGAACCAAAGCUGCAUUCGCUGAAAUCAGAGCUCAAUUAAACAAGUAACCUUUUUUGGAAGGAAAUAUCCUCCUGGCAAUAUAACAUUGUCUUUCUGAACCCUUUCCAUCCUUACACAAUGGCCAUUGUAGCCUGAAAGUUUUGAGUUUAUGAAAAUGUGAAACUAAUGGUGCAGGUACCCCUGUGGUAACAUCUGGGGGGGGGGAAUAACUAGAAGUUCUUCAGUAGUAGGAAUGCAAAUGCAAAAUUUAAUUACCCUGCUCAACAAGAAGUAGUCACAAAGGUGGCCUUUAGUUUGUGGUUUUCUGUCAUUUGCUGUUGGACUAACUUAGCUCUUUCUUUCUCACUAGACUCACAGAUCGGUUUCUGUCAUCUGUGAAAUUUGUGGGCAGAUAACAUCAACUUCCUGUCCUAAAUCUGCCAUUCUGCAAGCCAUGAGCAUCAGAAAACCAUCACAUGCCCUAAAGACUGUUUGCAUCUCUCUGCAGGACUUUUGUUUGGGUAUAAUUCUUUUCAAAAAUGUCAUUCCAUAUGAAAUGGUCUCUUACAUACUGGAUGGAGUUUUUGAAAGACUUGUGUAAAACUUACAAAUAUUAUUAAGACAACAUCAUUUCUGUCAAUAUUUUAGCCUGCCAUAAAUAUUCUUGUUUGGAAGGGUACCGUUUAAUUCCAGGGUACAGAAUUUAAUUGGGGCGCUAUUAUUUUGUUUCUCCACCUGUUGCAGACCCUGGAUUAAUUCCCAGUCUUCCAUGGCCUACUUUGUGGCAAUAGAUCAAUAGCAAAGGCAGGAGGCCUGAGAGGCACAGAACCCCCAUCUUCCUUAAGGGCCUGACCAGAUUUUGUGGUGGUGUCAAGUGAAGAAAAAGUGUGCAGAAAAGAGAGCGGAAAACCCAACUGCAGGCACUAACAUAAAAAGAAUUUAUCUAAAUUUUCUAGUGAGAAAGUGAGAAUAAUCCCUAUUGGUUGACAGGAUUGUGAUGAUGUCACCAGGAAAUUUAGAUUAAUUCUCUUUAUGUUAGUGUUUUGAAACAAUUGCAUGGCAUCAUAGUGUCAGCUGCAUUUAUACUGACUAAAAUUUUAUUUUAAAAUUAAGCUAGAGCAAAACACAUACGCAUUCAGCUUCCUCCACGUUUGAAAUAUAUUCUAUAACUUCCCUGAUUUGAACUGAAACUUUCAUAUGCACAUUUUACACAUUGCUAUGGGCAGAGAUUUCAUUCAUCAAAGCCUGGGUUGCUGAAUACCACCACUUGGGCCCCAGUGUUGUAUAAAUUUCUCCAGCUGAUGCCGGUUGCAGUUUCUAUUACUGGAUAUUUACUUCAAUGAAUUGUAUGAAUAACCUUGUAUGACAUUUGGUAGCCUCUUAGCGCUUUAUUAAUUGCAACACAGGUCAUUAGUUUUCAAAAUACUGUUUGGCUUUCCUGAUGCAUGUAUUACAGUUAAAGAAUAACAGCACACUUAUUUUACUUCCUAAAAAGAUGCAUUUUAAAUUAAAAUGACCAGAAGCAUGUUUUCCCCUUAGAGCAUGCACCAUUGCCUAGAUCAAGACACUCUUCACAAUGCCUGCACAACAUGUGGCAAACCAUGCCAGAUGCAGGCCACAAAUAUUGUUACAAGUUUGUGGGGCGGCAAGACUCCCCUAAAACAUCUGGAUUUGGCAAAGGGUUCGAAUUUAAGCAAACCCCUAAGUUCCCUGUUCUAGUGGGGGCUAGAGUUUAAACCAGUUUUUCCAUAUCCAGGGAACGGCCUGGCAGAUGAUCAACAAAUCACCGGAUUGGCCGAGCCAUUAACUCAUUAAAAAGGCCAUUAACAGAGACUCUCUGGGCCAAACAGAAAAUGGGGAAAGCCCCUCUGUUUUAUGCUGCAGAGAGAGCGCUGCUUGGAGUCUCUUGGAAUCCGAGGCUGCAGCAGUGGGAGGAACAGGAUCCUUUGGGGACAUCGCCACUGAGAUGCAGGUUAAAUAUAUUUGUAAAUAAACCAUAUAUCAUAAAGACGC